GUACAGAGAAUGAUAAAGGUGCCUGUCGAUCUUCUUCGUCUCUCGAUAUUUUUUUAAUAGUCGACGAAGAACGCGCAUUCUUUGAAUCCACAAGUCCUAUAAAUAAUGUAAAGUGUUUAUUAUCGUUUGCCUUCUCAUAAAUUCAAAGCAACAUUGUUUUAAGAAUAAAGCACUCAUAUUUACCUUUUGUGGUGUACGAGCGUUUGCUGUACCCUUCCUUUUACCAAAACCACAGUGACGACCUUUGCGUCUGGCUUCGGUAUUUUUGCGGACACGGGCUCUGGAGUGAACAGCCACGGGCUUCUUAAUGAUGAGACCAUCUUUAAUCAGCUUUCUGAUGCUUUGACCUGAAAGAAUAUGAGACUUGUGCUCAUGAUACCAGAAAAGGAAGUGUAGACUGCAUAGAAUUUACAGAAAUGUUUAAACUUACGAGAAUUUGUAUUUGCGAUUUCAUUAAUUUCAUUAGGAUCCAACCAGACCUUCUUUCGGCCACAUCGCAUAACAGAGGCUGCGAGCCUCUUCUGCAAUUUUAACGAACUGAAACAAACGAAGUGAGGUUAUGUUAUGGAGAUCAUUCGGUAUUACAAAACGUGGUAAGAUUGUUUUAAAUCUUUAGUUACAUAUCGUUUAGUUAACACAUUCGCGAAAAUGCAACUAAAAUAGAAUAUAAACACUGCACAAAAUAUAAAGAUAACAUGAGUUCGAUACACUGAACCAUGUGGUCAGCUCUAAACGAAUUAUGAGCAUAGAAAUCGAAAAUUAUCAUGUUUUCAAUGAAAUGUCACAUCUAUGAGAAAGAAAAAUCUUAAGAAGGUUCUGUACCUCAUGACGGAUCAACGAGUCCUCCUUGGUAAAGAAGAACAAAAUGGCAGGAACUACAUUUCCUGUGUUCUUAUACCAACGGAAAUGAGAACAAUAAAGGCGGGCUUAUUUUGAAUUGUCAAAUAAUGCUGCAAUAAAACAAAUUAGUUGUUUGAAAAAUAA